AGGAGCUUGCUCUUCUUGGAUGAGUUGCGAACGGGUGAGUAACGCGUAGGUAACCUGCCUUGUAGCGGGGGAUAACUAUUGGAAACGAUAGCUAAUACCGCAUAACAAUGGAUGACACAUGUCAUUUAUUUGAAAGGGGCAAUUGCUCCACUACAAGAUGGACCUGCGUUGUAUUAGCUAGUAGGUGAGGUAACGGCUCACCUAGGCGACGAUACAUAGCCGACCUGAGAGGGUGAUCGGCCACACUGGGACUGAGACACGGCCCAGACUCCUACGGGAGGCAGCAGUAGGGAAUCUUCGGCAAUGGGGGCAACCCUGACCGAGCAACGCCGCGUGAGUGAAGAAGGUUUUCGGAUCGUAAAGCUCUGUUGUAAGUCAAGAACGAGUGUGAGAGUGGAAAGUUCACACUGUGACGGUAGCUUACCAGAAAGGGACGGCUAACUACGUGCCAGCAGCCGCGGUAAUACGUAGGUCCCGAGCGUUGUCCGGAUUUAUUGG
rnacentral:rRNA from 1 species